CGCCUGCUGAGCCCCAUGGCCCGCGCUGCUCUCUCCGCCGCCCCCAGCAAUCCCCGGCUCCUGCGAGUGGCACUGCUGCUCCUGCUCCUGGUAGCCGCUGGCCGGCGCGCAGCAGGUGGGUACCGGCGCCCUGGGGUCCCCGGGCCGGACGCGGCUGGGGUAGGCACCCAGCGCCGACAGCCUCGCUCAGUCAGUGAGUCUCUUCUUCCCUAGGAGCGUCCGUGGCCACUGAACUGCGCUGCCAGUGCUUGCAGACCCUGCAGGGAAUUCACCCCAAGAACAUCCAAAGUGUGAACGUGAAGUCCCCCGGACCCCACUGCGCCCAAACCGAAGUCAUAGCCACACUCAAGAAUGGGCGGAAAGCUUGCCUCAAUCCUGCAUCCCCCAUAGUUAAGAAAAUCAUCGAAAAGAUGCUGAACAGUGACAAAUCCAACUGACCAGAAGGGAGGAGGAAGCUCACUGGUGGCUGUUCCUGAAGGAGGCCCUGCCCUUAUAGGAACAGAAGAGGAAAGAGAGACACAGCUGCAGAGGCCACCUGGAUUGUGCCUAAUGUGUUUGAGCAUCGCUUAGGAGAAGUCUUCUAUUUAUUUAUUUAUUCAUUAGUUUUGAAGAUUCUAUGUUAAUAUUUUAGGUGUAAAAUAAUUAAGGGUAUGAUUAACUCUACCUGCACACUGUCCUAUUAUAUUCAUUCUUUUUGAAAUGUCAACCCCAAGUUAGUUCAAUCUGGAUUCAUAUUUAAUUUGAAGGUAGAAUGUUUUCAAAUGUUCUCCAGUCAUUAUGUUAAUAUUUCUGAGGAGCCUGCAACAUGCCAGCCACUGUGAUAGAGGCUGGCGGAUCCAAGCAAAUGGCCAAUGAGAUCAUUGUGAAGGCAGGGGAAUGUAUGUGCACAUCUGUUUUGUAACUGUUUAGAUGAAUGUCAGUUGUUAUUUAUUGAAAUGAUUUCACAGUGUGUGGUCAACAUUUCUCAUGUUGAAACUUUAAGAACUAAAAUGUUCUAAAUAUCCCUUGGACAUUUUAUGUCUUUCUUGUAAGGCAUACUGCCUUGUUUAAUGGUAGUUUUACAGUGUUUCUGGCUUAGAACAAAGGGGCUUAAUUAUUGAUGUUUUCAUAGAGAAUAUAAAAAUA
rnacentral:lncRNA from 1 species